UUGGCUGAAUCCAAAGUGGUCGCGGAGCUGGUCUGUGAAACCAGUCGUAGCGGGUUCGAGUCCCGUCGGUCAACCCA
rnacentral:tRNA from 1 species